rnacentral:tRNA from 1 species
AUUCAUUUAGUAUAUAAAGUAUAUUUAACUUCCAAUUAAAAGGAUUAACUAAAAUGAAUA